rnacentral:rRNA from 1 species
GACGAACGCUGGCGGCGUGCUUAACACAUGCAAGUCGAACGGAAAGGCCCUGCUUUUGUGGGGUGCUCGAGUGGCGAACGGGUGAGUAACACGUGAGUAACCUGCCCUUGACUUUGGGAUAACUUCAGGAAACUGGGGCUAAUACCGGAUAGGAGCUCCUGCUGCAUGGUGGGGGUUGGAAAGUUUCGGCGGUUGGGGAUGGACUCGCGGCUUAUCAGCUUGUUGGUGGGGUAGUGGCUUACCAAGGCUUUGACGGGUAGCCGGCCUGAGAGGGUGACCGGCGACAUUGGGACUGAGGGACGGCCCAGACUCGUACGGGAGGCAGCGGUGGGGAAUAUUGCGCAAUGGGCGGAAGCCUGAUGCAGCAACGCCGCGUGCGGGAUGACGGCCUUCGGGUUGUAAACCGCUUUCGCCUGUGACGAAGCGUGAGUGACGGUAAUGGGUAAAGAAGCACCGGCUAACUACGUG